UUGACCUCGGAUCAGGUAGGGAUACCCGCUGAACUUAAGCAUAUCAAUAAGCGGAGGAAAAGAAACCAACAGGGAUUGCCUCAGUAACGGCGAGUGAAGCGGCAACAGCUCAAAUUUGAAAUCUGACCCCUUCGGGGCCCGAGUUGUAAUUUGUAGAGGGUGUUUCGGGCGCGGCGCCGGUCUAAGUUCCUUGGAACAGGACGUCAUAGAGGGUGAGAAUCCCGUAUGCGACCGGCGAUCAAGCCCAUGUGAAGCCC
rnacentral:rRNA from 1 species